UGGGGAAUAUUGCACAAUGGAGGAAACUCUGAUGCAGCGACGCCGCGUGAGUGAAGAAGUAAUUCGUUAUGUAAAGCUCUAUCAGCAGGGAAGAUAGUGACGGUACCUGACUAAGAAGCUCCGGCUAAAUACGUGCCAGCAGCCGCGGUAAUACGUAUGGAGCAAGCGUUAUCCGGAUUUACUGGGUGUAAAGGGAGUGUAGGUGGCAUCACAAGUCAGAAGUGAAAGCCCGGGGCUCAACCCCGGGACUGCUUUUGAAACUGUGGAGCUAGAGUGCAGGAGGGGCAAGUGGAAUUCCUAGUGUAGCGGUGAAAUGCGUAGAUAUUAGGAGGAACACCAGUGGCGAAGGCGGCUUGCUGGACUGUAACUGACACUGAGGCUCGAAAGCGUGGGGAGCAAACAGG
rnacentral:rRNA from 1 species